UGAAUACGAGAUGCUACGGCGUCGAAGCAGUCUAUGUCAUACUUCCAAGAAAAGCUUGCACUGUCAUAAACAAAUAAUGCCUGUACCAUAACCGACACAGGUGGGUAGGUAGAGUAUACUAAGGGGCGCGAGGUAACUCUCUCUAAGGAACUCGGCAAAAUGACUCCGUAACUUCGGGAGAAGGAGUGCCUUAUUUAUAAGGUUGCAAUAACAAGAUCCAAGCAACUGUUUACCAAAAACACAGGUCUCCGCUAAGUCGUAAGACGAUGUAUGGGGGCUGACGCCUGCCCAGUGCCAGAAGGUUAAAGAAGUUGGUUAGCAUCCGCGAAGCUGAUAACUGAAGCCCUGGUGAACGGCGGCCGUAACAAUAACGGUCCUAAGGUAGCGAAAUUCCUUGUCGGGUAAGUUCCGACCCGCACGAAAGGCGUAAUGAUUUGGAUACUGUCUCGGAGAGGGGCUCGGUGAAAUAGACUUGUCUGUGAAGAUGCGGACUACCUGCACCAGGACAGAAAGACCCUAUGAAGCUUUACUGUAACCUGAAAUUGAAAUUGGACUUUACUUGCGCAGUAUAGGUGGGAGGCGUUGAGAAUAUUCUUGCGGGAUUAUUGGAGCCAUCAGUGAGAUACCACUCUUGUAAUGUUAGAUUUCUAACUUUGUAUCAUUAUCUGGUCAAAGAACAGUUUCAGGCGGGCAGUUUGACUGGGGCGGUCGCCUCCUAAACGGUAACGGAGGCGCACAAAGGUUUCCUCUGAACGGGUAGAAAUCGUAUCUAGAGUGUAAAGGCAUAAGGAAGCUUGACUGUGAGACCUACAAGUCGAGCAGGGACGAAAGUCGGUCUUAGUGAUCUGACGGUGCUGAGUGGAAAGGCCGUCACUCAACGGAUAAAAGUUACUCUAAGGAUAACAGGCUGAUCUCCCCCAAGAGUUCACAUCGACGGGGAGGUUUGGCACCUCGAUGUCGGCUCAUCGCAUCCUGGGGCGGUAGUACGUCCCAAGGGUUGGGCUGUUCGCCCAUGAAAGCGGUACGCGAGCUGGGUUCAGAACGUCGUGAGACAGUUCGGUCCAUAUCCGGUGUAGGCGUUAGAAUAUUGAGAGGAGCCUUCUUUAGUACGAGAGGACCGAGAAGGACAUACCUCUGGUGUACCAGUUAUCGUGCCAACGGUAAACGCUGGGUAGCUAUGUGUGGAGUGGAUAACCGCUGAAAGCAUCUAAGUGGGAAGCCCACCUCAAGAUAAGUAUUCUCAUAAA
rnacentral:rRNA from 1 species